CGUAUGUCUAGGCAUCAUAGUUGUGUGUGAAGAAUUAAACGAGGCUAUAGCUUUAGAGAACACAAAAAAAUAAAAAAUAUACAGAGGAAAAAAGGUACCUAAUCAGAGAAACAUGAUGCAGAGACUUGUACACUGUGACUUAGAGGAAAUCGGGAUAGCAGAUAGAUAUGCAUGCUUAUUCACUCUCUCCUUCCUGUGUGUGUCAGUGGGUGAGAUGAUGAUCAGGAGGCAGAACAGAACAGUGUGAAGUUAUUACGACGAUACAAAAAUACUGAAGAAUACUCUAAGUAGUGUAAGCAGGUAGGCGGCUACACAAUUAGAAUCAGAGUUUACCUGGGAGAGGAAGGAGAGGAGACAAUGGAGGUUUGGAUCUGACUGAGGGGGAGCAGUGGGACAUCUGUCUGCAAGGUCCCUGGUCUGACUGGGCUGUGCUGAGAUCCAUCAUCUUUACACGUUGGGAUGCAGCAGCGGCAGCUUCUUAAGAUGAGAAAGUAGACCAUCCAGUACUGUCACAUUUCCCACCCGUGCCUUUGUGUGUGUCUGCCAGGGCCCACAAACACAGAGGAACUCACAGUACGUGUACAAUAGCCCAUUGCUUUACAAUAGACGUUCCAGACGUUAUCUUGACAGCGAAGGCGAAAAAGUCCCUUUUGUCUCUUGGUGAGUAUUGCUGUCAGAAGGGCUACGCACUUUGUGUGUAUGACUGAAUGGGGUUCCUGUGAAUCCAUGAAGGCCCUUGCUAUUCCACAAGGUGGUGGUUUUGUUUCAUGUACAUCUCAUCCUCAUAUGAUUGGUGUGAAGAGUGAGUAAGUUCUUGAACCUACUAAUAUGGCACUAUUACCAACCUUAGACACUUCAACCCCAAGGCCUCCUGGCCCCCAGGCCUAACUGUUCCCCACCAACCUCAGCUAGGUGCUUCCUCCAUCUUCGACAAAGACAUGUCCUUGGAGAGACACAAAGAGAGAGCAGAGAGCCAAGCAGAAAGGCAAUGAGUGGUGCGAAGGUGACACUCAUAAGACAGGGAAAGGGUGCGAAAGGCCAUGACACGAUGUAUCUCCUAUAGUAACUCACUGCCUGCCUAUACUCACAAUGUGAACACCAAGCACAACAUUGGUCCUUGCUUCGUUUUGCCAUUCAAUCUUAACGUUUUAACCCCACAAUCUAUUUGUUAAGGUAGGCUAUGAAUCUUCCAAAAGUUGUGAUUUGCAAUGUAUUAUAGGCUCAACAUUGUCCACUUACACACAACAGUAGCCUAUAUUUGAGUAGAUACUCACUCAAUUCAGGGACUGUUAUCAUUCCAAAACUAGAUAACAAAAUAUUAGAUGAGGUCAGAUUCAGCGAAAUCCCACGGCCAGAAUCCAAUCUCACCUAUCACUAUUAGAUGUUCUAAUCUGAUGUCCAUCACAUAAAACUCAUUGUAUUCAUAAUGGGAUAAAAGCACCUAAGAUUGGAUAUUUGGAUAUUUGAUGGUAUUAUGGUCAGAUUGGACAUUGCUGCUGAUCGGACUGGAGUGGGACAAUGACCGGUGGGAGGAUUUUGACAUUACGUGAACCUUUGUGGACGGUGAUAAGGAGGAGGAUGAUGAUGAAGAGACUGGAGCUUUAUAAUGCUUAAAUGUGAUUAUGUGUCACUGCCCUGUUUCUCUGUUACACAGGAGAGGGAAACAUUGGAGUUUAUCUGAGGCAUUUCAGUUGAAUGACCUUUCGAUGACCCAUAGGCCUACAUACAGUGUGCUACGUACAGGAGAAAGGGUUAGGGUGCAUGUGCUUCAUGGAUACAAUUCCACUUCAAUGUGGUGGAAGAAGAUCGAAGCUUGUCUAAUUAAUUCCUCUUUUAAUGCCCUUUCUUAUAACAUGUUUCAUUCCUGAAUUACUGGCAGCUAAGGGACAACACGGAGAUCAAUAAAAACAAACGUCACAUGAUUGUUUUAUGGAACUUAAUACAUUAACACUGGCCAUAGAAACAUCAGGAUGUAUCAGAGACA